GCUCAUUGGCUUCUCCUCGAGAAGUACAAUUCUUCCAAACUUCAUACCAAACUUCAUCUUCUUCGGACGAUUUUCCCCAAUUCUCUUAUAAAACCCUAAAUUUCUCAAUUAAUUGUCAUAGAUUUUCAUUCAUGGAAGCUCCGAUUCUUCCAUUUUCCUCCAUACCCAAUCUCUUCUCCUUCUUCAUCUUUUUUCUCAUAAUUUACCUCAUUGCCUACUUCAUAAUCUUCCCUUCAUGGAAACCAAAACUCCGUCCAGAAGCUUCAAGCUGUGUUAUCUCCUUCUUCCACGGCACACCCGCCGUAUUCCUCGCCGUUACUUCUCUACUCGCCGACCCAGAUCGUAAUUUUCACUCUACCAACACCCCUUUUCAGAACAUGGUCCUUGAUUACAGCAUAGCUUAUUUCUUAAUGGACCUAACCCACUACCUGAUUUUCUACCCUAGUGAUGUUCUCUUCAUCGGACAUCAUCUUGCUACCCUCUUCGUUUUUGUUACGUGUAGGUAUAUGGUGUAUCAUGGGGCUUAUGCGAUUCUUGUGCUUUUGAUUCUUGCGGAGGUUACUAGCUUUGUACAGAACACAUGGACUCUUGCCAGUGCUAGGAAAUCCGAUGUGGAGUUUGCUGCCAAGGUCUAUUCCGUGCUUUCGCCUCCGUUUUAUGUUUUCUAUUCAUUGGUGAGAGGUAUUGCUGGGCCGUAUUUUGUUUACAGGAUGCUUUCGUAUUAUCUUAGUGGUGCUGCUGAUAACGUACUACCGAGAUGGAUUUGGGUUUCUUGGGUAUUUGUUGUUGUUACUGCUAUUUCUGUUAGCAUAUUGUGGAUUUCAAAUCUUUGGGUAGAAUUGUAUAAAGAAAUGAGUAGGAAAUUUGAGAAAAAAGUUAGGUGAGCUAAAAAUGUUGUGGUUUAUAGAUUACUUAUAUGGUUUAUUGAAUGAGACAUUGGGAAAAAAAACCCCAAAAUCCUUCAUUGUCUGUUUGCUCCCUAGGUGGGAUGCAUAAAUUCAGAAAUAUAUUUACUCUAUAGUCU
rnacentral:misc_RNA from 1 species